rnacentral:rRNA from 1 species
UUUUGCCGAGGCGCUACAGCAGUCGACGGUAACGGAAGCAGCUUGCUGCUUCGCUGACGAGUGGCGGACGGGUGAGUAAUGUCUGGGAAACUGCCUGAUGGAGGGGGAUAACUACUGGAAACGGUAGCUAAUACCGCAUAACGUCGCAAGACCAAAGAGGGGGACCUUCGGGCCUCUUGCCAUCGGAUGUGCCCAGAUGGGAUUAGCUAGUAGGUGGGGUAACGGCUCACCUAGGCGACGAUCCCUAGCUGGUCUGAGAGGAUGACCAGCCACACUGGAACUGAGACACGGUCCAGACUCCUACGGGAGGCAGCAGUGGGGAAUAUUGCACAAUGGGCGCAAGCCUGAUGCAGCCAUGCCGCGUGUAUGAAGAAGGCCUUCGGGUUGUAAAGUACUUUCAGCGGGGAGGAAGGCGAUGAGGUUAAUAACCUUGUCAAUUGACGUUACCCGCAGAAGAAGCACCGGCUAACUCCGUGCCAACAGAAACGGUAAUAAAA